AGUGAACGCUGGCGGUAGGCCUAACACAUGCAAGUCGAACGGCAGCACAGUAAGAGCUUGCUCUUACGGGUGGCGAGUGGCGGACGGGUGAGGAAUACAUCGGAAUCUACUUUUUCGUGGGGGAUAACGUAGGGAAACUUACGCUAAUACCGCAUACGACCUACGGGUGAAAGCAGGGGAUCUUCGGACUUUGCGCGAUUGAAUGAGCCGAUGUCGGAUUAGCUAGUUGGCGGGGUAAAGGCCCACCAAGGCGACGAUCCGUAGCUGGUCUGAGAGGAUGAUCAGCCACACUGGAACUGAGACACGGUCCAGACUCCUACGGGAGGCAGCAGUAGGGAAUAUUGGACAAUGGGCGCAAGCCUGAUCCAGCCAUACCGCGUGGGUGAAGAAGGCCUUCGGGUUGUAAAGCCCUUUUGUUAGGAAAGAAAAGCAGCAGGUUAAAACCCCGCUGUUCUGACGGUACCCAAAGAAUAAGCACCGGCUAACUUCGUG
rnacentral:rRNA from 1 species